AUACGUAGGGGGCGAGCGUUAUCCGGAAUUACUGGGCGUAAAGGGUGCGUAGGCGGCCUUUUAAGUCAGAUGUGAAAGGCUACGGCUUAACCGUAGUAAGCAUUUGAAACUAGAAGGCUUGAGUGCAGGAGAGGAGAGUGGAAUUCCUAGUGUAGCGGUGAAAUGCGUAGAUAUUAGGAGGAAUACCAGUGGCGAAGGCGACUCUCUGGACUGUAACUGACGCUGAGGCACGAAAGCGUGGGGAGCAAACAGGAUUAGAUACCCUGGUAGUCCACGCCGUAAACGAUGAGUGCUAGGUGUUGGUGGAGACAUCCAUCAGUGCCGCAGCUAACGCAUUAAGCACUCCGCCUGGGGAGUACGGUCGCAAGACUGAA
rnacentral:rRNA from 1 species